UACGAAGGGGGCUAGCGUUGUUCGGAAUUACUGGGCGUAAAGCGCGUGUAGGUGGUUUUGUAAGUCAGGGGUGAAAGCCCGGAGCUUAACUCCGGAAUUGCCUUUGAAACUGCAAGACUAGAGAUAUGGAGAGGUAAGCGGAAUUCCUAGUGUAGAGGUGAAAUUCGUAGAUAUUAGGAGGAACACCAGUGGCGAAGGCGGCUUACUGGUCAUAUACUGACACUCAGACGCGAAAGCGUGGGGAUCAAACAGG
rnacentral:rRNA from 1 species